UACGUAGGGAGCGAGCGUUGUCCGGAUUCAUUGGGCGUAAAGGGUGCGUAGGUGGCGGGGUAAGUCAGGUGUGAAAUCUCGAGGCUCAACCUCGAAACUGCACUUGAUACUGCCUUGCUCGAGUACUGGAGAGGAGAUUGGAAUUUACGGUGUAGCAGUGAAAUGCGUAGAUAUCGUAAGGAAGACCAGUGGCGAAGGCGAAUCUCUGGACAGUUACUGACACUGAGGCACGAAGGCCAGGGGAGCAAACGGG
rnacentral:rRNA from 1 species